GAGAGGGAGACGCUCCAAGAGGCUCCUCAGUGUGGGCGAGUAAAAUGCCCUGCGUGUGAGAAGCAGGCUCAGAUUAUUGCUACUCUGUAUUCAGAUCUUCAUGUGUCUCUUCUAAGCUGAAUAAAGCUGUUUUGGAACUGUCAGGUACCUCAAAGCCGGAAAGGUCAGCCCCCCGCUGCAAGUUCUUAGAUUCCUGGAGGAUCUGCAGAGUCAACAUUAGGAGUAUCCAUCCAUUCACCAAGGCCAUCAGGAAUGUGCUGCCCCAGGAACAAUCAGAAACCAAGAGAUGGGAAUGAAGAGGGUGAGUGAUCUGGAGUCCUGAGAAUGUGCUGUAAAGAAGAGUUGUCAAUUGUGCACAGAAGAUAAGAAAUAUAUGAUGAAUAGAUAAUUGAAAAGAGAUCCUCCAGAAAGAGCAGAAGGAAGUUUCUUCAAUGGCUUCCUUCAGGAUUUUAAUCAUCCUUACAGCCUCUUUGAGAAUGAUUGAACUUCCAAAUUCCCUGAAGUUAAAAUUUUAAAUUCUAUUAAACAUUUUUUCGAGUAUUUCAUUACUUUUACAUUAUGACUUGUACAGUAAUUUGAGAUCAUAAGGGUUGAAAAAUAUCUUCAAAUAAGUUUUUAUAGUUAAAAUUUUUUUGACUUUUCAAAAGUUCUUCUUCCUAGCUCAUUUCAUAAUCUUCAAAUGUAGAUUCUCUUUGAACAUAAAGUGGUAUAAAUAUAGAAUGUUCAGGCACCUGACGUAUAAAUUUACAUACGGUUUGAAGAUUGGAGGGUAUACCCUGUGAUAGUGUCUGACAUUGUUAUUUUCUCGUCAGUGUUACCAGACAGUAAAUAAAUACUUCAAUUCUGCCAGGGGAGGUGGCUCACGCCUGUAAUCCCAGCACUUUGGAGGCCGAGGUGGGCAGAUCAUGUGGUCAGGAGUUUGAAACCAGCCUGGCCAACAUUGUGAAACCCUGUCUCUACUAAAAAUAUAAAAAUUAGC
rnacentral:lncRNA from 1 species